ensembl:lncRNA
GUCCCUCGCUGGUUAAAGAUCCCCCCCUUUCAAAGGAGCGACGUAAGGCUCAGAAACAGGAUGUGACCCACGGGAUCUGGAAGUCAUGGGGCUGCAGUGUGAGUCCAGGUAAAGCUGUCUCCUCAUACUGGGGAUUGAACCCAGGGGCUUUGCACUGAGCCACAUCUCCAGUCCUUUUUAAACUUUUUAAUUUUUUGAGACAGGAUCUCACUAAGUCACUAAGUUGCCCACAUUGGAUUUGAACUUGUGAUUCUCCUGCCUUCAUGCCCCCCCCCCACCAACCCAGAGUGCUGGGACUACAGGCAUAUGCCAGCCCAGCUAAGAGUACUUCUUAGAACUGAUGGUCUAUGACAUUAUUGCUGUUUCCAAGAUUAGGGCUUUAUUAUUUUUGCAGUGCUGGGGAUGGAAUCCAAGACACAUGCUAGGCAAGGGCUCUGUCACUGUGCCUCAUCACCAGCCCCACACUAGGACAGUUAUUUCUAGGGUUGGGGAUGGCGCUCAGGGUCUCACACAUGCUAGGCAAGCAUUCUAUCACUCCGCUGCAUCCCAGCCCCAAACUGGGGCAUUACUGCAGAAAGGAACAGGGCUACAACUUGCCUGUUCUCCCCCACGUCUCGUCCCCUACUUCCUGCCCCCAGGUCAGGGUCCUCACCAGGUCACUUGGUGUCAGGUUCAGGCAGAUUUGCUCUUCCUAACCACACUGCAAGGAGAUUCAGCUGUGGAUUAAUUUAGCUUAGUGCCCUGUCAGAGGAGGCUAGAGUCGGCAGCAAUUACGAUGAAGAGGACCACACCCGCCCAGCACCCUACUUCUCUGGCCUCCACCAAGAUGACUCAUUCCAAAUUAUGCCCCUAAUUGUCUCAACCUGGGUGGACUCUUAGCCAGCGCCCUCCUUUUGCCCAACCCACAUGAGUGGAUCCUUGAGACCUUCACUUUUCCCUUCCUCACUGCCACAGACGUGGGCCAUUGUGUAUUUAAUGUGGUCUCAUCCUUCCAAGCUGUCUGCCAUCUUUUACUCAGUAUCCAGGAACAACAAACAGCACGGCACUGGGUAGAUGGCUCUUGCAGGUGGACAGAGCCCCUUUCUUUGUAACGUAGUGCCACCUUCCUGGUUUCCCAGAAACCUGUGCUCCACGUCCUCUCCCUUCUUCCCCCUCUCUGCACCCCUGGCUGGCUGCCUGUCGAGGCUUCUACAAAAGCUCAUGCUUUGGUCAGUGCUCUCCCUUGGUGAUGCCUUUCCUCCACCUCCAGCCCUGCCUUCCACUCAAUGACCUGCCUAAAGAAGGGAGCAGAGUGAAUUGUAAGCCUCCUGAGGGGAGGAACUACCUUGCUUUGACAUCUGGAUCCCACCUAGCAGAGCUUGUGAGGUAGAGAAGCUGUUCCAGGCGAGUGGGGUCAGAUAAAGAGAAGACAAGAACCAAAGAAGAAAACUGGCCUUUGAGGAAGGGGUGCUGUAGCCAAAUCAAGCUCCCUUACCAAGAGCAAGGGAAGAGCAAAACCAAGCAGACACAGAACAAGUAGACAACAAUUUCCCACACAGAUUGAGGGCUACACAGAUGCUCUCAGGAGAAGGGAGAAUAAGCUAGUGCAUGGUUGCUUGUAUCUGUUGGCUGAGAAAGCUCUCCUCGCACUAGCUGAGAAUCCCUAAUCUGAAGAUCCAAACUCUGAAGUGCUCCAAAAUCCAAAAGUGUUUGAGCAUCAUGUCAGUACUCACAGUUCUGGAUUUUGGAGCAUUUUGGAUUUGAUAAUUUCCGAUUAGGGAUGUUUAGCCAGGACAGUCUGUAUGAUUAUUCCAAAAUUUGAAAACACAUGAAACACUGCUAGUCUCACACACUUUAAAUAAGGGACAUUCAGCCUGAACAUGGGUUUUAUGAAUGCAAACAUCCUGUAGGUUUUUUGUUUUGUUUCAUUUUGUUUUUGCAGUGCUGAGGAUUGAACCAGGGCCCCACACAGGCUAGGCAAGUGCUCUAUCUACCAGGCUACAUCCCCAGCUCUUUAUUUAUUUUUGUUUUGGUACCAGGGAUUGAACUUGGGUCCUUGCGCUUGCAAGGCAGGUGACAGAACCACUGAGCUAAA